UAGAAUAAGAGAAAGCACAACACAAACACAGAAUUUUUAUAGUGGUUCGGAGCAAUCUGCUCCUACAUCUGCUCCUCAAGCUUUUCUUGAGAAUUCUACUAUAAUAUUUCUUUGAUUACAGUGUGUUUGUUUUGCCAGACUCACAAAUAAAUCUAAUUAAUUUUAAUCCAGAUUAACUAAUCAAAAUUUUUACACUGUUAGUUUUUCAGGCUCACUAACAAUCUAGUUGAUUUUAACCUAGGAGUACCAACCACAACCUUUACAACAUCCAAUUACGGGCU
rnacentral:lncRNA from 1 species